ACGCGAAGAACCUUACCCAGGCUUGAACAGCGAGUGACCAUUCACGAAAGUGGACUUCCGCAAGGACACUCGUAGAGGUGCUGCAUGGCUGUCGUCAGCUCGUGUCGUGAGAUGUUGGGUUAAGUCCCGCAACGAGCGCAACCCUUGUUUGCUGUUGCCAUCAGGUAAAGCUGGGCACUCUGCAAAGACUGCCGGUGAUAAACCGGAGGAAGGUGGGGAUGACGUCAAGUCAGCAUGGCCUUUAUGUUUGGGGCUACACACGUGCUACAAUGGCCGAUACAAACCGUCGCGAGCCCGCAAGGGGGGAGCUAAUCGGAGAAAGUCGGUCUCAGUUCGGAUUGUAGGCUGCAACUCGCCUGCAUGAAGUUGGAAUCGCUAGUAAUCGCGGAUCAGCACGCCGCGGUGAAUACGUUCCCGGGCCUUGUA
rnacentral:rRNA from 1 species